rnacentral:rRNA from 1 species
UCAAGUUAUUAAGGGUGCAGGGCGGAUGCCUUGGCACUAGGAGCCGAUGAAGGACGUGAUAAGCUGCGAUAAGCUUCGGGGAGUUGCACGUAAACUUUGAUCCGAAGAUUUCCGAAUGAGGAAACUCACUUAGAGUAAUGUCUAAGUAUCAUUAAGUGAAUACAUAGCUUAAUGAGGGGAACUCAGGGAACUGAAACAUCUAAGUACCUGAAGGAAGAGAAAGAAAUUCGAUUCCGUAAGUAGCGGCGAGCGAACGCGGAUUAGCCCAAACCAAUAAAGUUUUCUUUAUUGGGGUUGCGGACAUAUCAUAACGAAGAGGUAUCGUAAUUGAAGAGGUUUGGAAAGACCCACCACAGAAGGUAAUAGUCCUGUAUGUUAAACGAGAAGACUUCAGAUAUGAUCCAGAGUACCACGGGACACGUGAAACCCUGUGGGAAGCAGGAGGGACCACCCUCCAAGGCUAAAUACUACCUAGUGACCGAUAGCGUAUAGUACCGUGAGGGAAAGGUGAAAAGAACCCCGGGAGGGGAGUGAAAUAGAACCUGAAACCCUGCACUUACAAGCUGUGGAAGCACAUUUCUUGUGUGACCGCGUACUUUUUGUAGAACGGGCCAACGAGUUACGUUAAGUAGCAAGGUUAAGCACUUAAGGUGCGGAGCCGUAGCGAAAGCGAGUUUUAACUGAGCGUUCAGUUACUUGACGUAGACCCGAAACCGGGCGACCUACCCAUGAGCAGGAUGAAGCGAAAGUAAAAUUUCGUGGAGGUCCGAACCCACGAGCGUUGAAAAGCUCGGGGAUGACUUGUGGGUAGCGGUGAAAUUCCAAUCGAGCCCGGAGAUAGCUGGUUCUCCCCGAAAUAGCUUUAGGGCUAGCCUCAAGGUGAGAGAUACGGAGGUAGAGCACUGAAUGUCCUAGGGGGUAUUGCACCUACCGAAGACUAUCAAACUCCGAAUGCCGUCAUCUUAUACUUGGGAGUCAGACUGUGGGUGAUAAGAUUCAUAGUCGAAAGGGCAACAGCCCAGAUCGUCAGCUAAGGUCCCUAAAUGUAAGUUAAGUGGUAAAGGAUGUGGGAUUGCACAGACAACCAGGAUGUUGGCUUAGAAGCAGCCACUCAUUCAAAGAGUGCGUAAUAGCUCACUGGUCGAGUGAUCCUGCGCCGAAGAUUUCCGGGGCUAAAACUUACUACCGAAGCUACGGCAUCAGUAAUGAUGGGUAGGGGAGCUUCCCAUACGGGUUGAAGCAUGACCGUAAGGACAUGUGGACAGUAUGGGAGUGAGAAUGUUGGCAUGAGUAGCGAGAUGUGGGUGAGAAUCCCACAGGCCGUAAACCCAAGGUUUCCAGGGGAAGGUUCGUCCGCCCUGGGUUAGUCGGGACCUAAGCUGAGGCCGAAAGGCGUAGGUGAUGGACAACAGGUUGAUAUUCCUGUACUACCGAUAACCGUUUGAGAGAAGGGAUGACACAGUAGGAUAAGCUAAGCACACUGUUGGUUAUGUGUGCCCAAGCAUUGAGGCAGUCAAAGUAGGCAAAUCCGCUUUGAUAAUGCUGGGAUGUGAUGGGGAGCGAAAUUUAGUAGCGAAGUAGCUGAUUUCACACUGUCAAGAAAAGUCUCUAUCGAGGUUAAAGGUACCCGUACCGCAAACCGACACAGGUGGGUGAGGAGAGUAUCCUAAGGCCAGCGAGAGAACUGUUGUUAAGGAACUCGGCAAAAUGACCCCGUAACUUAGGGAUAAGGGGUGCCACCAUCAGGUGGCCGCAGAGAAUAGGCCCAAGCGACUGUUUACCAAAAACAUAGGUUUCUGCUAAGUCGCAAGACGAUGUAUAGGAGCUGACGCCUGCCCGGUGCUGGAAGGUUAAGGGGAUCUGUUAGAGCAAUCGAAGCAGUGAACUUAAGCCCCAGUAAACGGCGGCCGUAACUAUAACGGUCCUAAGGUAGCGAAAUUCCUUGUCGGGUAAGUUCCGACCCGCACGAAAGGCGUAACGAUUUGGGCACUGUCUCAACAACAGACUCGGUGAAAUUGUAAUUCCGGUGAAGAUGCCGGAUACCUGCGACAGGACGGAAAGACCCCAUGGAGCUUUACUGUAGCUUGACAUUGGGUCUUGGUACUACAUGUACAGGAUAGGUGGGAGGCUUUGAAACCAGGACGCCAGUUUUGGCGGAGCCAUCCUUGGGAUACCACCCUUGUAGUACUGGGACUCUAACCAUAGGCCAUGAAUCUGGUCUUGGGACACUGUCAGGUGGGCAGUUUGACUGGGGCGGUCGCCUCCCAAAAGGUAACGGAGGCGCUCAAAGGUUCUCUCAGUACGGUCGGAAAUCGUACGUAGAGUGUAAAGGCAAAAGAGAGCUUGAUUGCAAGACAUACAGGUCGAGCAAGGAUGAAAAUCGGACUUAGUGAUCCGGUGGUUCUGCGUGGAAGGGCCAUCGCUCAACGGAUAAAAGCUACCCUGGGGAUAACAGGCUUAUCUCCCCCAAGAGUCCACAUCGACGGGGAGGUUUGGCACCUCGAUGUCGGCUCAUCACAUCCUGGGGCUGUAGUAGGUCCCAAGGGUUGGGCUGUUCGCCCAUUAAAGUGGUACGCGAGCUGGGUUCAGAACGUCGUGAGACAGUUCGGUCCCUAUCCGUCGCAGGCGUAGGAAAUUUGAGAAGACCUGUCCUUAGUACGAGAGGACCGGGAUGGACGUACCUCUGGUGUACCAGUUGUUCUGCCAAGGGCAUGGCUGGGUAGCUAUGUA